GAUGAAGAACGUAGCGAAAUGCGAUACUUGGUGUGAAUUGCAGAAUCCCGUGAACCAUCGAGUCUUUGAACGCAAGUUGCGCCCGAAGCCAUUAGGCCGAGGGCACGCCUGCCUGGGUGUCACACGUCGUUGCCCCCCCAUCUACUCCUUCGGGAUUGCGGGGGGCGGAUGAUGGCCUCCCGUGCGCCUCGUCGCGCGGUUGGCAUAAAUGCCAAGUCCUCGGCGACGCAUGCCACGACAAUCGGUGGUUGCGAAACCUCGGUUGCCCGUCGUGUGCGGUCGUCGCGCAUCGAGGGCUCGAAAAAAUUGCCGGGCUCCGGCUCGGCUUUCAACGCGACCCCAGGUCAGGCGGGGUUACCCGCUGAAUUUAAGCAUAUCAAUAAGCGGAGGA
rnacentral:misc_RNA from 1 species